rnacentral:rRNA from 1 species
GACGAACGCUGGCGGCGUAGCUUAAAACAUGCAAGUCGAACGGACUUCUCAUGAAGCUUGCGAUUGAGAAGUUAGUGGCGGACGGGUGAGUAACGCGUGGGCAACCUGCCCCUGAGCCCGGGAUAACAGUUCGAAAGGACUGCUAAGACCGGAUAUACUUGCGGUGAAGCAUUUCACUGCAAGGAAAGGGAACGCUCAGGGAUGGGCCCGCGUCCCAUUAGCUAGUUGGUGAGGUAACGGCCCACCAAGGCGACGAUGGGUAGCCGGCCUGAGAGGGUGAAACGGCCACACUGGGACUGAGACACGGCCCAGACUCCUACGGGAGGCAGCAGUUGGGAAUCUUCGGCAAUGGGCGCAAGCCUGACCGAGCAACGCCGCGUGAGUGAUGAAGGUUUUCGGAUUGUAAAGCUCUGUCUUCCGGGACGAUAAUGACGGUACCGGAGGAGGAAGCCACGGCUAACUACGUG